ensembl:snRNA U6 U6 spliceosomal RNA
GUGCUUGCUUUGGCAGCACAUAUACUAAAAUUGGAACAAUACAGACAAGAUUGGCAUGGUCCCUGCACAAGGAAUACAUGCAAAUUCUUAGAGUGUUCCAUAUUUUU